rnacentral:rRNA from 1 species
AUGCUGAAAAGAAGACAUUUUCAUGUUGGGGAUACUGAAUCAUGCGUCCUAUGCACUCCUCAUGAGGAAGAGACCAUUGAUCACUUGAUCUUUAAUUGCCCUUUUAGCCAAACUUGCUGGUCCAAGAUUGGUAUCUCAUACAACUCUAGCAUCUCAAGGAUUGAGGCCACAAUCAGGGCAAAGGAAAUUUAUUCUGGUAGACUUUUCUUUGAGACCUUCACCAUUACUGCAUGGAAUAUUUGGAAGGAGAGAAAUAACUUCAUCUUCAAUCAAAUUACUCCUUCAUAUAGAGCUUGGCUUGAGAGGACUAAGGCUGACCUUACCUGGCUUAGAUACAGAGUGUCCUCUGAUCUCAGUGAUUAUAUCACUUCUUUUGUAAAUUCACUUUAG